UACGAAGGUGGCAAGCGUUGUUCGGAUUUACUGGGCGUACAGGGAGCGUAGGCGGUUGGAUAAGCCCUCCGUGAAAUCUCCAGGCUUAACCUGGAAAGUGCAGAGGGGACUGUUCAGCUAGAGGAUGGGAGAGGAGCGCGGAAUUCCCGGUGUAGCGGUGAAAUGCGUAGAGAUCGGGAGGAAGGCCGGUGGCGAAGGCGGCGACCUGGGCCAAUAUUGACGCUGAGGUGCGAAAGCGUGGGGAGCAAACAGG
rnacentral:rRNA from 1 species